GAACAGGAACGCAAACACAGCAAAACAAGCCAAAAGACCACAGAUGACUCAAAUUUGUGCAUCUCUGAAGCUCUGCGGGUACAGGGUUGAGGUCUUGGGCUUCAUGGUGGGGUCAGUUUUUGGCUGGAGCUGACAUGGGAGGGACUGAAGUGGGAAAUCCUUGGGAAGUGCUGCCUGAUUUCUAGAGGCUCCAUGGGGUAGGAGAGGAGAGAAGAACAUGAAGGAGGGGGAAAGCAUUUGGGAAAUGCCAGUCCUCUGCCCCUGUCUCCAGGACCCACUUUAACACUGACAAAAUCCUGCUUUCUUUAUUCUUAUUUUCUUCCCCAACUGCAGAUCAACCCUGUUUCUAACACCCACCCACUUCUAGUCUUUGUCAAUCCCAAGAGUGGUGGAAAGCAGGGACUGAGGUGAGGAAAAAGAAAUUAGGGGGGCUGGGGUUAUGGCUCAGUGGUAGAGGGCUCACCUAGCAUGCAUGAGGCACUGGGUUCAAUCCUCAGCCAAAGGUAUUGUGUCCACUUAAAAUUAAAAAAUAAAUAUUAAAAAAAAAAGACAUUGGGUCUUUCUAGAUGGAGAGGGAGGGCCAGAGCUUGGAGGGAGAAAAGGAAUAUGUAUCUAAUUGGAUCACCUUGAGGAAAACAUGAAGCUUUCCUUUUUUUACUCACACAGGGUCCUUUGGAAGUUCCAAUAUAUACUAAACCCUCGGCAGGUGAUCAACCUCCUAAAGGAUGGUCCUGAACAAGGGUGAGUAUAGGCUAGGGGCCAUAUCACAGUGUUUUCUUGUGUCUAUACAUGUUGAGAGUAAACAGUACACAGUGCAUAUUGAGAGAGGAGGCCUAGGGGAACCCAAGACACCAGAAUUUCGAAUGCUUCUUUCCCUAAGGUAUCUCCUCCUCUCAGCUCUCUUUCCAUCUUUGUCCUGUUUUCUUUCUUUCUUUUUUUUUUUUUUGGUGCUGGGGAUUAAACCCAGGGCCUUGUGCAUGCAAGUCAAGCACUCUACCAACUGAGCUAUAUCCCCAGUCCUUUGUCCUGUUUUCAAGGGAUGAAGAUCCAUUUUUUCCCCUAACCACUAAGGAGUAGCUAUAAUUUUCUCCAUUGUCCUUUUCUCUUUCUAGAAAUUCAAGUCUUCUUUAUUUUAAAAAUCAUUGUCAAGAGCUGUAGUGCACACCUGUAAUCUCAGCGACUAGGGAGGCUGAAGCAGGAGAAUCACGAGUUCAAAGCCAACCUCAGCAAAAGCGAGGUGCUAAGCAAUUCAGUGAGACCCUGUCUCUAAACAAAAUACAAAUAUGGCUGGAUAUGUGGCUCAGUGAUCUAGUGCUCCUGAGUUCAAUCCCCGGUACCAGGGGGGAAUAAAAAAAAAAAUAUAUAUAUAUAUAUAUAAAUAUAUAUAAUUGUGUGUGUGUGUGUAUAUAUAUAUAUGUAUAUAUAUGUGUGUGUGUGUGUGUGUGUAUAUAUAUAUAUAUAUAUAUAUAUAUAUAUAUAUAUAUAUAUAUAAAUAUAAAUAAUUUAUGGCCAGGUGUGGUGGCACAUAGCUGUAGUUCCAGCAACCUGGGAGGCUGAGACUGGAGGAUCAUGAGUUCAAAGCCAACCAACCUCAGUAACUUAGCAAGGCCCUAAGCAACACUUAAAGGACACUGUCUCUAAAUAAAACACAAAAAAGGGCUGAGGAUGUGACUCAGUGGUUUAGCAACCCAGGUUCAAUGCCUGGUACCAACAAAAAAAGCAAAUUAAAAAAAAAUUUAAUCAUUUUUUAAGGUGCUUGGGACAAAACCCAGGGCAUGUUAGGGAAAUACUUUACCACUGAGCUACAUCCCCAGCCCAAAACUCAAGUCUUUUGAAAAAGGGGAAAAAGGUAAUAUGAAUGAGACACAAGAAAUAAUCUGCUGGGCCCUGGGUUCGAUCCUCAGCACCACACAAAAAUAAAUAAACUAAAGGUAUUGUGUCCAUCUACAACUAAAAAAAAUAUUUAAAAAAAAAAGAAGUAAUCUGCUGUCCAGGAAUUAGAUAACCUCAGUCCUAUUAUCCUUCAUCUUUUCUCUCUCCCCUUUUGUCUCAGGCUCAGAUUCUUCAAAGAUGUUCCUGACAGCCGU
rnacentral:lncRNA from 1 species